rnacentral:rRNA from 1 species
UACGGAGGGUGCAAGCGUUAAUCGGAAUUACUGGGCGUAAAGCGUGCGCAGGCGGUUUGUUAAGUCCGUUGUGAAAGCCCCGGGCUCAACCUGGGAAUGGCAAUGGAAACUGGCGGGCUGGAGUAUGGCAGGGGAGACUGGAAUUCCUGGUGUAGCGGUGGAAUGCGCAGAUAUCAGGAGGAACACCGGUGGCGAAGGCGGGUCUCUGGGCCAUUACUGACGCUGAGGAGCGAAAGCGUGGGGAGCGAACAGG